rnacentral:rRNA from 1 species
AUUCCGGUUGAUCCUGGUGGAGGAUGUUGCUAUUGAAAUUAGAUUUAGCCAUGCUAGUCGAAUGAGUUUAGAUUUGUGGUGAAUAGCUCAGUAACACGUGGCCAGGCUCCCCCUUCAGUCAGGGAUACCCUCGGGAAAGUGAGGUUAACAGCUGAUACAAAACGGCAGCUGGAAUGUGGCGUUUCAGAAAGACAUGGCUGAAGGAUGCGGCUGCGGCCGAUUAGGUAGACGGUGGGGUAACGGCCCACCGUGCCAGUAAUCGGUACGGGUGAUGAGAGUCAGAGCCCGGAGACGCAAUCUGACACAAGAUUCCGGGCCCUAUGGGGGGCAGCAGGCGCGAAACCUUUACACUGCACGCAACUGCGAUAGGGCAAUCCCAAGUGCGAGGGGGAUAUUAGGGCGUGGCUUUUGUGGACUGUAAGGUGGUGGACGAAUAAGAGCUGGGCAAGACCGGUGCGAGCCGCCGCGGUAAUACCGGCGGCUCGAGUGAUGUCCCGAUAUUAUUGGGGCU